rnacentral:rRNA from 1 species
GAAUUUUGGACAAUGGGCGAAAGCCUGAUCCAGCAAUGCCGCGUGCAGGAUGAAGGCCUUCGGGUUGUAAACUGCUUUUGUACGGAACGAAAAGCUUUGGGUUAAUACCCUGGAGUCACGACGGUACCGUACGAAUAAGCACCGGCUACAUCAGUUACAGCAGCUGCGGUAAUACGUAGGGUGCAAGCGUUACUCGGAAUUACUGGGCGUAAAGCGGGCGCAGGCGGUUUUGUAAGACAGAGGUGAAAUCCCCGGGCUCAACCUGGGAACUGCCUUUGUGACUGCAAGGCUAGAGUACGGCAGAGGGGGGUGGAAUUCCGCGUGUAGCAGUGAAAUGCGUAGAUAUGCGGAGGAACACCGAUGGCGAAGGCAACCCCCUGGGCCUGUACUGACGCUCAUGCACGAAAGCGUGGGGAGCAAACA